rnacentral:rRNA from 1 species
CGGAGAGUUUGAUCCUGGCUCAGGACGAACGCUGGCGGCGUGCCUAAUACAUGCAAGUCGAGCGGACAGAAGGGAGCUUGCUCCCGGAUGUUAGCGGCGGACGGGUGAGUAACACGUGGGUAACCUGCCUGUAAGACUGGGAUAACUCCGGGAAACCGGAGCUAAUACCGGAUAGUUCCUUGAACCGCAUGGUUCAAGGAUGAAAGACGGUUUCGGCUGUCACUUACAGAUGGACCCGCGGCGCAUUAGCUAGUUGGUGAGGUAACGGCUCACCAAGGCGACGAUGCGUAGCCGACCUGAGAGGGUGAUCGGCCACACUGGGACUGAGACACGGCCCAGACUCCUACGGGAGGCAGCAGUAGGGAAUCUUCCGCAAUGGACGAAAGUCUGACGGAGCAACGCCGCGUGAGUGAUGAAGGUUUUCGGAUCGUAAAGCUCUGUUGUUAGGGAAGAACAAGUGCAAGAGUAACUGCUUGCACCUUGACGGUACCUAACCAGAAAGCCACGGCUAACUACGUGCCAGCAGCCGCGGUAAUACGUAGGUGGCAAGCGUUGUCCGGAAUUAUUGGGCGUAAAGGGCUCGCAGGCGGUUUCUUAAGUCUGAUGUGAAAGCCCCCGGCUCAACCGGGGAGGGUCAUUGGAAACUGGGAAACUUGAGUGCAGAAGAGGAGAGUGGAAAUCCACGUGUAGCGGUGAAAUGCGUAGAGAUGUGGAGGAACACCAGUGGCGAAGGCGACUCUCUGGUCUGUAACUGACGCUGAGGAGCGAAAAGCGUGGGGAGCGAACAGGAUUAGAUACCCUGGUAGUCCACGCCUUAAACGAUGAGUGCUAAGUCUCAGGGGGUUUCCGCCCCUUAGUUGCUGCAGCUAACGCAUUAAGCACCCCGCCCGCGGAGUACGGUCGCAAGAGUGAAACUCAAAGGAAUUGACGAGGGGCCGCACAAGCGGUGGAGCAUGUGGUUUAAUUCGAAGCAACGCGAAGAACCUUACCAGGUCUUGACAUCCUCUGACAACCCUAGAGAUAGGGCUUUACCUUCGGGGACAGAGUGACAGGUGGUGCAUGGUUGUCGUCAGCUCGUGUCGUGAGAUGUUGGGUUAAGUCACGCAACGAGCGCAACCCUUGAUCUUAGUUGCCAGCAUUCAGUUGGGCACUCUAAGGUGACUGCCGGUGACAAACCGGAGGAAGGUGGGGAUGACGUCAAAUCAUCAUGCCCCUUAUGACCUGGGCUACACACGUGCUACAAUGGACAGAACAAAGGGCUGCGAGACCGCAAGGUUUAGCCAAUCCCACAAAUCUAUUCUCAGUUCGGAUCGCAGUCUGCAACUCGACUGCGUGAAGCUGGAAUCGCUAGUAAUCGCGGAUCAGCAUGCCGCGGUGAAUACGUUNNCCGGGCCUUGUACACACCGCCCGUCACACCACGAGAGUUUGCAACACCCGAAGUCGGUGAGGUAACCUUUAUGGAGC